GAUCAUGGCUCAGGACGAACGCUGGCGGCGUGCCUAAUACAUGCAAGUCGAGCGAGGGUCUUCGGACCCUAGCGGCGGACGGGUGAGUAACACGUAGGCAACCUGCCUGUAAGACUGGGAUAACAUAGGGAAACUUAUGCUAAUACCGGAUAGGGUUUUGCUUCGCCUGAAGCGAAACGGAAAGAUGGCGCAAGCUAUCACUUACAGAUGGGCCUGCGGCGCAUUAGCUAGUUGGUGAGGUAACGGCUCACCAAGGCGACGAUGCGUAGCCGACCUGAGAGGGUGACCGGCCACACUGGGACUGAGACACGGCCCAGACUCCUACGGGAGGCAGCAGUAGGGAAUUUUCCACAAUGGACGAAAGUCUGAUGGAGCAACGCCGCGUGAACGAUGAAGGCUUUCGGGUCGUAAAGUUCUGUUGUUAGGGAAGAAACAGUGC
rnacentral:rRNA from 1 species